UUGGGGAACUCGGCAAAUUGCCCCCGUAACUUCGGGAGAAGGGGGGCCUCCGCUGGUGAUCAGACUUGCUUUGUGAGCUGGUGGGGGUCGCAGAGGCCAGGGGGAAGCGACUGUUUACUAAAAACACAGGUCCGUGCGAAGUCGUAAGACGAUGUAUACGGACUGACGCCUGCCCGGUGCUGGAACGUUAAGGGGACCGGUUAGCGCACUUCGGUGUGCGAGGCUGAGAACUUAAGCGCCAGUAAACGGCGGUGGUAACUAUAACCAUCCUAAGGUAGCGAAAUUCCUUGUCGGGUAAGUUCCGACCUGCACGAAUGGCGUAACGACUUCCCCGCUGUCUCAACCGCAGACCCGGCGAAAUUGCACUACGAGUAAAGAUGCUCGUUACGCGCAGCAGGACGGAAAGACCCCGGGACCUUCACUACAGCUUGACAUUGGCGUUUGGAACGUCUUGUGUAGGAUAGGUGGGAGACUGUGAAGCUGUCACGCUAGUGGCGGUGGAGUCAUUGGUGAAAUACCACUCUGGUCGUUUUGAACGUCUAACUUCGGUCCGUGAUCCGGAUCAGGGACAGUGUCUGGUGGGUAGUUAACUGGGGCGGUUGCCUCCUAAAGAGUAACGGAGGCGCCCAAAGGUUCCCUCAGCCUGGUUGGUAAUCAGGUGUCGAGUGUAAGUGCACAAGGGAGCUUGACUGUGAGACCGACGGGUCGAGCAGGAGCGAAAGCUGGGACUAGUGAUCCGGCGGUGGCAUGUGGAAGCGCCGUCGCUCAACGGCUAAAAGGUACCCCGGGGAUAACAGGCUGAUCUUCCCCAAGAGUCCAUAUCGACGGGAUGGUUUGGCACCUCGAUGUCGGCUCGUCGCAUCCUGGGGCUGGAGUAGGUCCCAAGGGUUGGGCUGUUCGCCCAUUAAAGCGGUACGCGAGCUGGGUUUAGAACGUCGCGAGACAGUUCGGUCCCUAUCCGCUGCGCGCGCAGGAGACUUGAAAGGAGCUGUCCCUACUACGAGAGGACCGGGACGGACGAACCUCUGGUGUGCCAGUUGUUCCGCCAGGAGCAUGGCUGGUUGGCUACGUUCGGAAGGGAUAACCGCUGAAAGCAUCUAAGCGGGAAGCUCGCCUUGAGAUGAGGUCUCCCACCACGUGAGUGGGUAAGGCCCCCGGGAGACGACCGGGUUGAUAGGCCGGAGGUGGAAGCAUGGUAACGUGUGGAGCUGACCGGUACUAAUAGGCCGAGGACUUGACCAC
rnacentral:rRNA from 1 species